rnacentral:rRNA from 1 species
GACGAACGCUGGCGGCGUGCCUAAUACAUGCAAGUCGAGCGAAGCGGCGGACGGGUGAGUAUCACGUAGGAACCUACCGAUAAGCGGGGGACAACAUCCGGAAACGGGUGCUAAUACCGCAUACUUAUCGAUGGCCUUGCGGUGCAUUAGCUAGUUGGUGGGGUAACGGCUCACCAAGGCCACGAUGCAUAGCCGACCUGAGAGGGUGAUCGGCCACACUGGGACUGAGACACGGUCCAGACUCCUACGGGAGGCAGCAGUGGGGAAUAUUGGACAAUGGGCGAAAGCCUGAUCCAGCCAUGCCGCGUGUGUGAAGAAGGUCUUCGGAUUGUAAAGCACUUUAAGUUGGGAGGCGUUACCAACAGAAUAAGCACCGGCUAACUUCGUGCCAGCCGCCGCGGUAAUUC